CCAGAGAGGACUUCCUGAGGAGGGGGCCCCUCUCAGCUCUGAGGCAGGAAGGAAGGGGGCUCCCUGACCUGGGGGUUUAUUCUCAGGCUCCUGGGAACAGCAGCCAGAGGUGCUGCGGAAACUGGAAGGGGAGGAAGUCUCUUCACCCAUCCCAGGCUUGGCCAGGAGCCUGGAGACCCGAGAUUCGUCAUCAGGGAUGACCCCGGACAGGGGUACUUCACCGUCACCAUGACUGCGCUGGCAGAGAAGGACUCGGGCUUGUAUUGGUGUGGACUCUAUGAAUAUCCCCAGAUUGACAUUCUCAGAGCCAUCCGUCUGCCGGUCUCUCCGGCACAAGUCCCA